rnacentral:rRNA from 1 species
UACGUAGGGCGCAAGCGUUAUCCGGAAUUAUUGGGCGUAAAGAGUCGCUGUGAGCGGUCUGUCGCGUCGGAUGUGAAAGCCCGGGGCUUAACCCCGGGUCUGCAUUCGAUACGGGCAGACUAGAGUGUGGUAGGGGAGAUCGGAAUUCCUGGUGUAGCGGUGAAAUGCGCAGAUAUCAGGAGGAACACCGGUGGCGAAGGCGGAUCUCUGGGCCAUUACUGACGCUGAGGAGCGAAAGCGUGGGGAGCGAACAGG